AGCUUUGCACUGUGGAAAUAUUGUAGCUAAUGAGGCUUAUCUGAGGCACAAGUAUUGCUAAUUCAAAACCUUUCCCAAUACCCGGUCAUGAUGCUUAAAAUAUGGUCAACAUUGGCAAUUUUCGACAGUCUCUACAGAGA
ensembl:snRNA U4 U4 spliceosomal RNA